UGGGGAAUUUUGGACAAUGGGCGAAAGCCUGAUCCAGCAAUGCCGCGUGUGUGAAGAAGGCCUUCGGGUUGUAAAGCACUUUUGUCCGGAAAGAAAUCCUUGGCUCUAAUACAGUCGGGGGAUGACGGUACCGGAAGAAUAAGCACCGGCUAACUACGUGCCAGCAGCCGCGGUAAUACGUAGGGUGCAAGCGUUAAUCGGAAUUACUGGGCGUAAAGCGUGCGCAGGCGGUUUGCUAAGACCGAUGUGAAAUCCCCGGGGCUCAACCUGGGAACUGCAUUGGUGACUGGCAGGCUAGAGUAUGGCAGAGGGGGGUAGAAUUCCACGUGUAGCAGUGAAAUGCGUAGAGAUGUGGAGGAAUACCGAUGGCGAAAGGCAGCCCCCUGGGCCAAUACUGACGCUCAUGCACGAAAGCGUGGGGAGCAAACAGGAUUAGAUACCCUGGUAGUCCACGCCCUAAACGAUGUCAACUAGUUGUUGGGGGAUUCAUUUCCUUAGUAACGUAGCUAACGCGUGAAGUUGACCGCCUGGGGAGUACGGUCGCAAGAUUAAAACUUAAAUGAAUUGACGGGGUCAUAGCUGUUUCCU
rnacentral:rRNA from 1 species